GGGGACGCAACGGUUUCGACGGGGGUGAGAAGGCGUUGGGAGCGAGUAGUGGUGCGGUGCCACUUAAAAAGCCGCAAUUUUUUAAAUUUAAACGCUAACACAGAAUUAGCUGCAGCCUAAUUAAUGGCUGCUGUCCUGCCUUAUUUACUGCGCAUAAGGUAAGGGCAUCGAUUUUGCAGUGAACAUGAAUGUGCAAAGCUUUGAGCAUGUCAGGUAUUAAUGAAGCUACUGAAGGGAAGAGCUUGCUUGUGUGCUUUUUCGGGAGGGAAUGUUAAUCAUAAGCUGCACUCGGAGAGCCUGAUGACGGAACGCUUUCGGACAGGAGUUCAAUUCUCCUCGUCUCCACCA
rnacentral:tmRNA from 1 species